AUAAACUUGCCGCCGGGUAAGCAACUGUAAACGUUGAUAUUCGCAUCGUUAGGCCUUUGAAGAUGCGUUAUAUCUGCGUUUUUUGUUU
rnacentral:ncRNA from 1 species